rnacentral:snoRNA from 1 species
GUACAAUGAUGAUUAUCUUUUAUUUUAAUCACGACGGUCAACAUAAUCAAAUACAUUGAUGACCACCGCCUGUGACAGGGCAUUUAAUCUGAAA